UCUGCGGCCGAUUAGGUUGUUGUUGGGGUAACGGCCCAACAAGCCAUUGAUCGGUACGGGUUGUGAGAGCAAGAGCCCGGAGAUGGAUUCUGAGACACGAAUCCAGGCCCUACGGGGCGCAGCAGGCGCGAAAACUUUACAAUGCGAGAAAUCGUGAUAAGGGAACCCCGAGUGCCCGUAAAUUCGGGCUGUCCGCCAGUGUAAAUAACUGGUGAAGAAAGGGCCGGGCAAGACCGGUGCCAGCCGCCGCGGUAAUACCGGCGGCUCGAGUGGUGGCCACUAUUACUGGGCUUAAAGCGUCCGUAGCUGGAUUGUUAAGUCUCUUGGGAAAUCCACCGGCUCAACCGAUGGGCGUUCAGGAGAAACUGGCAAUCUAGGGACCGGGAGAGGUGAGAGGUACUCCAGGGGUAGGAGUGAAAUCCUGUAAUCCUUGGGGGACCACCUGUGGCGAAGGCGUCUCACUAGAACGGCUCCGACAGUGAGGGACGAAAGCUGGGGGAGCAAACCGGAUUAGAUACCCGGGUAGUCCCAGCUGUAAACGAUGCGCGUUAGGUGUAUCGGUGACCACGAGUCAUCGAGGUGCCGAAGGGAAACCGUGAAACGU
rnacentral:rRNA from 1 species